rnacentral:rRNA from 1 species
UCCGUGCCAGCAGCCGCGGUAAUACGGAGGAUCCGAGCGUUAUCCGGAUUUAUUGGGUUUAAAGGGAGCGUAGGUGGAUUGUUAAGUCAGUUGUGAAAGUUUGCGGCUCAACCGUAAAAUUGCAGUUGAAACUGGCAGUCUUGAGUACAGUAGAGGUGGGCGGAAUUCGUGGUGUAGCGGUGAAAUGCUUAGAUAUCACGAAGAACUCCGAUUGCGAAGGCAGCUCACUGGACUGUUGACUGACACUGAGGCUCGAAAGUGUGGGUAUCAAACAGGAUUAGAUACCCUGGUAGUCCACACAGUAAACGAUGAAUACUCGCUGUUUGCGAUAUACAGCAAGCGGCCAAGCGAAAGCAUUAAGUAUUCCACCUGGGGAGUACGCCGGCAACGGUGAAACUCAAAGGAAUUGACGGGGGCCCGCACAAGCGGAGGAACAUGUGGUUUAAUUCGAUGAUACGCGAGGAACCUUACCCGGGCUUAAAUUGCAUUUGAAUAUAGUGGAAACAUUAUAGCCGCAAGGCAAAUGUGAAGGUGCUGCAUGGUUGUCGUCAGCUCGUGCCGUGAGGUGUCGGCUUAAGUGCCAUAACGAGCGCAACCCUUAUCUUCAGUUACUAACAGGUCAUGCUGAGGACUCUGGAGAGACUGCCGUCGUAAGAUGUGAGGAAGGUGGGGAUGACGUCAAAUCAGCACGGCCCUUACGUCCGGGGCUACACACGUGUUACAAUGGGGGGUACAGAAGGCAGCUACCGGGCGACCGGAUGCCAAUCCCAAAAACCUCUCUCAGUUCGGAUCGAAGUCUGCAACCCGACUUCGUGAAGCUGGAUUCGCUAGUAAUCGCGCAUCAGCCAUGGCGCGGUGAAUACGUUCCCGGGCCUUGUACACACCGCCCGUCAAGCCAUGAAAGCCGGGGGUACCUGAAGUACGUAACCGCAAGGAGC